UACAGAGGUCUCAAGCGUUGUUCGGGAUUACUGGGCGUAAAGGGUGCGCAGGCCGCGCGGGCAGUCAAUUGUGUAAUUCAGGGGCUCAACCCCUGGACUGCGCUUGAUACUUCCGUGCUAGAGCUUUGGAGAGGAGUCUGGAAUUCUCGGUGUAGCAGUGAAAUGCGUGGAUAUCGAGAAGAACACUUAGGGCGAAGGCAAGACUCUGGACAAAUGCUGACGCUCAUGCACGAAGGCUAGGGUAGCGAACGGG
rnacentral:rRNA from 1 species